rnacentral:tRNA from 1 species
UGCGGGGUGGAGCAGCUGGCAGCUCGCGAGGCUCAUAACCUCGAGGUCGCAGGUUCGAAUCCUGUCCCCGCUA